AUUGAACGCUGGCGGCAUGCCUUACACAUGCAAGUCGAACGGUAACGCGGGGCAACCUGGCGACGAGUGGCGAACGGGUGAGUAAUAUAUCGGAACGUGCCCAAUAGUGGGGGAUAGCCCGGCGAAAGCCGGAUUAAUACCGCAUGAGACCUGAGGGUGAAAGCGGGGGAUCGAAAGGCCUCGCGCGAUUGGAGCGGCCGAUGUCAGAUUAGGUAGUUGGUGGGGUAAAGGCUCACCAAGCCGACGAUCUGUAGCUGGUCUGAGAGGACGACCAGCCACACUGGAACUGAGACACGGUCCAGACUCCUACGGGAGGCAGCAGUGGGGAAUUUUGGACAAUGGGCGCAAGCCUGAUCCAGCAAUGCCGCGUGCAGGAAGAAGGCC
rnacentral:rRNA from 1 species